GUCAUUGUCUAUAUGCUUAUUGUCGAACAUCUCUUGAAGGACGGUGUUGAUCCUUCGAAUAGUAUUAAGCGUUGGAUCUGUGGUUAAUUGUUUAUAAAAAUGGAGUUAGAAAGUUGGCGAUUCCCCUCUGCUAUAUAAUCUGUUUUAUUCAUGAUAACCACAGCGCCCCCUUUGUCGGCAGGUUUUAUUACAAUAUCCUCUUGAUCUUUUAACGCUUUCAAAGCUAUACUUUCUGACUUGGAUAAAUUAUAAUUUCUUGUAUUUGUUAUACAGGACUUUAUAUCAGACCUCACGUAGUUAAUGAAUGACUCCAAGUUAUCAUUUUUACUCUUUGGUGGUUUCCAUGAACUUGUUGUCCUAAAUUUUGGGAUGGGCGUGACUUCUUCAUUGGUGUCAGUAUCUGAAUCUGUUAAUCCGGCUUCUUCAAGGUUUUUCUUGCCCCUAUUGUAGAAAAAAUCUUUCAAGCGUAAACGUCUAGCGAAUUGGUCUAGGUCUCCGUCUAGCUAAAAAGUUGUUUACAGUUGAUGGGAUAGGACAGAAGUUUAAACCUUUACUUAAAAGAGAUUCCUCAGCACGUGUAAGUUCUUUAGAUGACAAAUUUACAACAAUGCUUUCUGUUUUUUGUUUCCGUCUUUUAAAUUUUCUUUUUCUAGGGAUCUUAUGGUCUGUUGUAUUAAUAUCAUUCAUAUGCUGAUUUAAAUGGACAGUGUGAAUUUUAUCUCUUUGAAAUUUAUUCCUUUGUUUUUCUUUAUGUUUCGAUAGUUCAAUUUGUUCAAUAUCUGCGAGUCGACGUUUAAUUAUUGCUAAAUCGUCACGAGAAAUGUUACUAUUGUUGAUGAUAUAAACUCAUCAUAGAUAUCAGGACUAAAUUUUAUAUAUACGCCAGACGCGCGUUUCGUCUACAAAAGACUCAUCAGUGACGCUCAAAUCCAAAAUAAGUUUUAAAAAGCCAAAUAAAGUACGAAGUUGAAGAGUAUCAGAUAUCUGAUAUUUCAUUUACAAUUUGUUUGUAAUUUGUGGUUGUAAAGGAAAGUAACAGUUGAAGAAGCUGGAUUGAACAGUUAAACAGAAUUUCAUUCCAACGGCUCAUGAAUCUUUUGGAUUUAUGUCCCGGUGCCUGGCGACUCACUUUGAUGUUUAAACCUUUUGGUACAGUUUUACUUUGAAUAUUGAAGUUAUUAGAAGUAAACAUAAUUCGAAAGAAAAGAUUGUACAAUAUUGAGGAAGUUUACUGCAAAAACCGUAAAAAAAUCUAAACAAUAUUUUUUUUUAAUCCGUCGAAAAUACAAUGAGAAAAUAUACUAAAAACGUGUCGAAAAGUAUGAAUAAAGUAGCUUUGUUACCCUUAUAAUACCAGUUGUUGAUAUAAUAUUUCCAGAUUAUUAUGUAGGGCUGAUGAUAUAUUUCACUUCAUUUAACUAAUUGUAAUAAUAUCAAUUUGUAAAUUCCAAUAAAUGUUUGUCUAAAAUUUACCCAUACGGUCCAACUACAUAUAUGGUUCCAGUUCGUCCUAUAAUGCACGUUUAUACGCAUACGAUCAGGAACGUAUCAUUGUGGUCUGUUUUCAUUCUGCGUACGGUCCAAAUCGUCAUAUGGUCUGGGACAUUUAUAUAAACCUAUAAACAUAUGGUGGAUAUUGUUAUACACUACUUAUAGGUUGCAUUUCUGUAUAUAUUGACAAUGCAAUUUCCUUUAGGAACUCCUUUUACGUCUUAAACUGUACCACUUUUACUAUGAAGUUUUGAAAAAAACUCUUAUCCUAGAAUUGAAAGUAUAUAUAUGCAUCACAAUUGUUUUCAAAGGUCAACAUAUAGGGCUGUGCGGCAUAUCUUCAACGUUUAUAUGCCCUGAACUUCUCAGAGUUUAAACUAACACUAAUUUUCUUAACUACCCCUACCUCGAAUGAAAGGUUACCACAGAUUUCAAUGUAAACAAUAUGCACAAGUUUAUUUACAGGUUACAUUCCCAAGUUAUGUCUUUGUGAGAUGGAACACAGGGAGCAUAACUGGGAACCAGAAUGUAAACAAAAUUAAUUUUCUAUGAAUAUUCAAGAUCUCCCCAAAAGAGGCGUGUUUUGAGAAACAGCUGUAUUUACAAAGUGCAACCUAUAACAUGUACUAAAUAUAUAUUUUUAAAAGAUAUCCAAUAGAUAUUUAAUUUGUCGGCGUCAGCCUAAAAAAUAACUUAACACACAUAGGGAAAACGUACUAUACAACUGUUUUUAAAAUAUAAUUCUUUAAUUUCACUGUUAUCUACCAAAUUGUAAGUUUGGUAUCAUUGUGGUCUGUUUUCAUCCACUGGUGCGAUGUCGUUACUGAUGGACGUUUCGUUCCUGAGUGUAUCUGAGUGGUUGGCAAUCCUUUGGUUGAGAGUUCAAACCCAUACACUGUGCGUUUUGAUGUGUGUUUCUUUAUUCCACAUAGGCUAGAGGUAACGGGAACGAUUGAGAUCUCACUCCGUCUGUGACUUUGAGAACAAAUUAAUUACAAUAGUCACAUAUUCGGAUCCAGAAUUCAUGUGGCAAAAAGUUAUUUAAGUGUUUAAUUCUUUCGGAGUUAGUAAAUAUUCUAAUCUGGUUACUUAUGUGUUCUUUGUUCUACGAAUAUCUGUCUACUCAUGUAUGUUGACAAUGAAACCACAUCUUCUUAUAAGAAUUGUAUAUGAUGGUCCAAGUAAUAUGUCGAAAACGUGUACAUUUCAUUUUUUUCUAGAUUAUCGCAUGCGAUUGUGGUACCUUUUUGGUCUCUUUUCAUUGUGUUACAUAUACAUAUGAAUCGUAACACUUUAUAUUUACUAAACAGGUAAAAGAUAUACUUCUCAAGAAACAAAAAAACUUAUUGGCACCAGGCUAUGAAGGAAUAAAAUCUCAGAUCAAAAUAAAAUUGAGAAUGGGGAAUGUGUCAAAGUGACCACAACCCGACAAUAGAACAGACAAAAGCAGAAAGUCACCAAUAGGUCUGCAAUGCAGCGAGAAACUCCCGCACCGGGAGGCGUCCUUCAGCUGGCCCCUAAACAAAUAUCUAUACUAGUUUAGUGAUAAUGGACGCCAUACUAAACUCCGAAUUAUAGCAUAGCAUGGACAAUAUGUUGGUUAUACGUAAUUGUGCAUAGCAACGAUACCUAUCAAUAAUUGUGCAGAUAACCUAAACUUUUUAUAAGUUUAUCCGGGUUUUCAAACAUUUUUUGUUCAAUUUUUAACUUCACACCAAUCGGUCAAAAAGGCUAUUUCUUCACGUCCAAACAAGUAAAAGUGUUUCAUUCACCAACAAAAAACGUGCGAAAAAUAUCCAAAGCAAUUUUGUAUAUCAAAGUUAUGUAGAUCCGUGCAAACGUUCAUGUCAAUUGCGAACUGACCAAAUAAUUUUUAUAUUACGACCAGUCCACUGAUAUUGACAUUAUCAGAGAGUACACAUCAAAGGCAAAUGCACAAAUCACCGAUAGAUAUGUUAAUUUGUUUAGUACGUUACAUGAAGUGAUUUCGAUUGAGCUUCAUGACGACUCUCUCGCUAAUGGAUAUUUGUGGCUAAAAAUAAAAUAUCGUUUAUUUCAAAUUACUAUCUGGUAAUUAAGUGGAAAUUAAAGACGGAAAUACGUUUUGUGUUCAAUGGAAUCAUAGUUCAAAUCAGUUUAACUACUGUGUAAUUGUCUCGAAAACAACCCUUUCACCCCGGUAAAAUUCAGAUGUAAACAUUUAUUCAAAGUUAUUUGGUACAUUUAUCACCUUUGCGAAUCAGGCUAUUAUAUCACGAAGGCGGGAAUCCUUUUCCAUUGAUUAAAAAUGUAACGGAACGCAAAUGUACUGUAGAAAUAUAUUAAAUUACAAGUUGCGGACACUUUAUAUGAUUUUUUAAAUGAUAGUUCACCUUUGAAAAGGAUAAUCCUAUCAUUAUUUGUGUGUUAUUUGUAGUUAUAAAUUAUCUUCAGAAGUAUCAUAAAAAGUCAUUUAUAAACCUUUUAUAAAAAUAAUUAGAGUGCAGAAAAGUGAUGUGUUGUUUUUAUAAAUGAUGGUAUGAAUUUUACAAACUUGUUAUAACAAAGUCUUACAUAGACAUUGCUAUCAAAAUUAACAUUGAUAUCAGUAAUAGUGAUUAGAGGUCGAUCAGUUUAAAAUGUAUUUUUAUGCAAUUUUAAAAUAAAUGGAUUUUAGGCUCAAAGAAUUAGCGGUUAAAAUAUAGUUGACAACGGUGGUAUCUCCAAAAAAAAUGUUUGUAUUAUUCGGAAGUGAUGUAAUAUUUCGUUUUUCAGUAGUUGCAAGUCAAUGGGGUAUAUGUAAUGAUGAUGGUUUAUUACAGACUUGGGGUAAAUUACAUUGGAAUGUAAUUAAUUAAAUUACACAUUACAUUGCAAAAAUGUUCCAUUACACUAAUUACACAUUACACAGUUUUGGAAAUGUAAUUAAUUAAAUUACAAUUACUUUACUAAAGUAAUUAAUUAAAUUACACAUUACAUUUCAUCAUGAUAUUUGUAAACAAUAUUAUACAUGUAUAUAUAAUGCAUGUGUAAAAUAUGCAUGUAAGCAUAGUUUAAGCAUUGCAUUUGAUAAUCAUUAGUUAUUUUAAUGUUACAUGUAUGUCAUUUAUUCUGAAUCUCUCUGGUCUGAACACUUUGACAGCAAUUCUAAAUAGUCUUGCGACAGGAGCUAAUGUCACAGAUAUUGCUUGAUCAGAACAUAGAAGUUCCAUGAUCAGAAGAUCAUCAUAGUGAUAGGAGAGGGAAUUGGUUCCUAUUAACCAAAUGACAAGAGGUAACCAAAGUAAUUAUCUGUGUAAGAUGACAAGAGGUAUCCAACGUCACUACAUGUGUAAGGAUACCAGAUACCAGAGGUUGCCAAAUUGAUUUAUUGUGUAACGUGACCAGAGCAUCGUUGUAAGUUGACCAGAGGUACACAUAGUCAAUAUCCUUGCAAGUUGACCAGAGGUUACUAAAUUAAAUAUAAGGGUCUGGUGACCAGAACAUCAAUGUAAGGUAUUUAGAGGUAUCAAAAAUCAAUUUCUGUGUAA
rnacentral:lncRNA from 1 species